AGGGAGGGCGGUCUGUCUUUAAGUAGGGAUUAAAGCACUCUAAAAAAAUGAAUCCUAGAUAGUUUUCCCUUCAAGUGUCUUGU
rnacentral:pre_miRNA from 1 species